rnacentral:lncRNA from 10 species
GACUCUCUUUUCGGACUCAGCCCACCCACACCCAGGUGAUUAAAAAGCUUUAUUGCUCACACAAAGCCUGUUUGGUGGUCUCUUCACAUGGACGCACAUGAAAUUUGGUGCCGUGACUCGCUCUUUGCUCUGUGAAAAAGAUCCACCUAUGACCUCGGGUCCUCAGACCCACCAGCCCAAGGAACACCUCACCAAUUUUAAAUCGGGUAAGCGGCCUCUUCUUACUCUCUUCUCGAACCUCUCUCACUAUCCCUCAACCACUUUCUCCUUUCAAUCUUGGCACCACCUUUCAAUCUCUCCCUUCUCUUAAUUUCAAUUCCUUUCAUUUUCUGGUAGAGACAAAGGAGACACGUUUUAUUUGUGGACUCAAAACUCCAGCGCCGGUCACAGACUUGGGAAGGCAGCCUUCCCUUGGUGUUUAAUCAUUGCAGGGACACCUCUCUGAUUAUUCACCCAUGUUUCAGAGGUGUCUGACCACAUGGGGACGCCUGCCUUGGUCCUUCACCCUUAGAGGCAAGUACCGCUUUUCUAGGGGGCAAGAACCCCUGAUCCCUUAUUUCCUUGCCCUGACCUCUUAUCUCUGUGCCCCGAUCCCUUAUUUCUGUGCACCGACCUCUUAUCUCUGUGCCCUGAUCCCUUAUUUCCGUGCCCCGACCUCUUAUCUCUGAGCCCCGAUCCCUUAUUUCCAUGCCCCGACCUCUUAUCUCUCUGCCCAAUCCCUUAUUUCCGUGCCCCAAUCUCUUAUCUCUGCGCCCCAACCCCUUAUUUCCAUGCCUCAACCUCGUAUCUCUGUGCCCCAACCCCUUAUUUCCACACCCUGACCCGUUUACCGCUUUUCUAGAAGGUAAGAACCCCUGAACCCCUUCCCUCCCUGUCUCUACUCUCUCUUUUCUCUGGGCUUGCCUCCUUCACUAUGGGUAACCUUCCACCCUCCAGUCCUCCUUCUUCUCCCUUAGCCUAUGUUCUCAAGAACUUAAAACCUCUUCAACUCACACCUGACCUAAAACCUAAAUGCCUUAUUUUCUUCUGCAAUGCUGCUUGACCCCAGUACAAACUCGACAGUAGUUCCAAAUAGCCAGAAAAUGGCACUUUCAAUUUUUCCAUCCUACAAGAUCUAAAUAAUUCUUGUCAUAAAAUAGGCAAACGGUCUGAGGUGCCUGACGUCCAGGCAUUCUUUUACACAUCAGUCCCUCCCUAGUCUCUGUGCCCAGUGUAACUCGUCCCAAAUCUUCCUUCUUUCCCUCCCGCCUGUCCCCUCACUCCCAACCCCAAGCGUUGCUGACUCUUUCUAAUCUUCCUUUUCUACAGACCCAUCUGACCUCUCCCCUCCUCGCCAGGCCGAGCUAGGUCCCAAUUCUUCCUCAGCCUCCGCUCCUACACCCUAUAAUCUUUUUAUCACCUCCCCUACUCACACCCGGUCUGUCUUAUAGUUUCGUUCCAUGAGUAGCCCUCCCCCACCUGCCCAGCAAUUUCCUCUUAAAAAGGUGGCUGGAGCUAAAGGCAUAGUCAAUGUUAAUGCUCCUUUUUAUUUAUCCGACCUGUCCCAAAUCAGUUAGUGUUUAAGCUCUUUUUCAUCAACUAUAAAAAACCCAGCCCAGUUCAUGGCCCCAUUAGCAGCAACCCUGAGACACUUUACAGCCCUAGACCCUAAAAGGUCAAAAGGACGUCUUAUUCUCAAUAUACAUUUUAUUUUAUUACUGAAUCUGCUCCCAACAUUAAAUAAAGCUCCAAAAAUUAAAUUCCGGCCCUCAAACCUCACAACAAGACUUAAUUAACCUCACCUUCAAGGUAUACAAUAUUAGAGUAGAGGCAGCCAAGUAGCAACAUAUUUCUAAAUUGCAAUUCCUUGCCUGCACUGAGACAAACCCCAGCCACAUCUCCAGCACACAAGAACUCCAAAUGCCUGAACUGCAGCUGCCAAGUGUUCCUCCAGAACCCCCAGGAGCUUGCUACAAGUGCCGGAAUCUGGCCACCAGGCCAAGGAAUGCCCACAGCCCGGGAUUCCUCCUAAGCCGUGUCCCAUCUGUGCAGGACCCCACUGAAAAUCAGACUGUUCAACUUACCUGGCAGCCACUCCCAGAGCCCCUGGAACUCUGGCCCACGGCUCUCUGACUGACUCCUUCCCAGAUCUUCUCGGCUUAGCAGCUGAAGACUGAUGCUGCCCGAUCACCUCGGAAGCCUACAAGACCAUCACAGAUGCUCUAGGUAACUCUCACAGUGGAAAGUAAGUCCACCCCCUUCUUAAUCAAUACAGAGGCUACCCACUCCACAUUACCUUCUUUUCAAGGGCCUGUUUCCCUUGCCUCCAUAAUUGUUGUAGGUAUUGAUGUCCAGGCUUCUAAACCUCUUAAAACUCCCCAACUCUGGUGCCAACUUAGAAAACAUUCUUUUAUGCACUCUUUUUUAGUUAUCCCCACCUGCCCAGUUCCCUUAUUAGGCCAAGACAUUUUAACUAAAUUAUCUGCUUCCCUGACUGUUCCUGGACUAUAGCCACACCUCAUUGCUGCCCUUUUCCCCAGUUCAAAGCCUCCUUCACAUCCUCCUCUCGUAUCCCCCCAACUUAACCCACAAGUAUAAGAUACCUCUACUCCCUCCUUGGCGACCGAUCAUGCACCCCUUACAAUCUCAUUAAAACCUAAUCACCCUCACCCCUCAAUGCCAAUAUCCCAUCCCACAGCACGCUUUAAAAAGAUGAAAGCCUAUUAUCACUCACCUGCUACAGCAUGGCCUUUUAAAGCCUAUAAACUCCCCUUACAAUUCCCCCACUUCACCUGUCCUAAAACCAGACAAAGCUUACAGGUUAGUUCAAGAUCUGUGCCUUAUCAACCAAAUUGUUUUGCCUAUCCACCCCAUGGUGCCAAACCCAUAUACUCUCCUAUCCUCAAUAUCUCCCUCCACAAUCCAUUAUUCUGUUCUGGAUCUCAAACAUGCUUUCGUUACUAUUCUUUUUCACCCUUCAUCCCAGCCUCUCUUCGUUUUCACUUGGACUGACCCUGACAGCCAUCAGGCUCAGCAAAUUACCUAGGCUGUACUGCCACAAAGCUUCACAGACAGCCCCCAUUACUUCCAUCAAGCCCAAAUUUCUUCCUCAUCUGUUACCUAUCUCGACAUAAUUCUCAUAAAAUCACAUGUGCUCUCCCUGCUGAUCGUGUCCGGCUAAUCUCCCAAACCCCAAUCCCUUCUACAAAACAACAACUCCUUUCCUUCCUAGGCAUGGUUAGUGCGGUCAGAAUUCUUACACAAGAGCUGGGACUGCACCCUGUAGCCUAUCUGUCCAAACAACUUGACCUUAUUGUUUUAGCCUAGCCCUCAUGUCUGCGUGCAGUGGCCGCCACCGCCCUAAUACUUUUAGAGGCCCUCAAAAUCACAAACUAUGCUCAACUCACUCUCUACAGCUCUCAUAAUUUCCAAAAUCUAUUUUCUUCCUCACACCUGAUGCAUAUACUUUCUGCUCCCCGGCUCCUUCAGCUGUACUCACUCUUUGUUAAGUCUCCCACAAUUAAGAUUGUUCCUGUCCCGGACUUCAAUCCGGCCUCCCACAUUAUUCCGGAUACCACAUCUGACCCCCAUGACUGUAUCUCUCUGAUCCACCUGACGUUCACCCCAUUUCCCCAUAUUUCCUUCUUUCCUGUUCCUCACCCUGAUCACACUUAGUUUAUUGAUGGCAGUUCCACAAGGCCUAAUCGCCACACACCAGCAAAGGCAGGAUAUGCUAUAGUACAAGCCACUAGCCUGCCUCUCAAAACCUCUCAUUGUGGUAAUCUGUCCUCAAAGAAAUAACUUCUCAGUGUUCCAUCUGCUAUUCUACUACUUCUCAGGGAUUCUUCAGGCCCCCUCCCUUCCCUACACAUCAAACUCGAAGAUUUGCCCCCACCCAGGACUGGCAAAUUAGCUUUACUCAACAUGCCCCGAGUCAGAUAACUAAAAUACCUCUUAGUCUAGGUAGACACUUUCAGUGGAUAGGUAGAGGCCUUUCCUACAGGGUCUGAGAAGGCCACUGCAGGCAUUUCUUCCCUUCUGUCAGACAUAAUUCCUCACUUUAGCCUUCCCACCUUUGUACAGUCUGAUAACAGACCAGCCUUUAUUAGUCAAAUCAGCCAAGCAGUUUUUCAGGCUCUUAGUGUUCAGUGAAACCUUUAUAUCCCUUAUGGUCCUCAGUCUUCAGGAAAAGUAGAAUGGACUAAAGGUCUUUUAAAAACACACCUCACCAAGCUCAGCCACCAACUUAAAAAGGACUGGACAAUACUUUUACCACUUUCCCUUCUCAGAACUCAGGCCUGUCCUCAGAAUGCUACAGGGUACAGCCCAUUUAAGGUCCUGCAUAGAUGCUCCUUUUUAUUAGGCCCCAGUCUCAUCCCAGACACCAGACCAACUUAGACUGUGCCUCAAAAAACUUGUCAUCCCUACUAUUUUCUGUCUAGUCAUACUCCUAUUCACUGUUCUCAACUACUCAUACAUGCCCUGCUUUUGUUUACACUGUUUCUCCAAGCCAUCACAGCUGAUAUCUCCUGGUGCUAUCCCCAAACUGCCACUCUUAACUCUUAAAGUAAAUAAAUAAUCUUUGCCGGCAAGGCUAUGCUGACCCUCUUUAAGCACUCUCUAAUUAGAUGUCCUAAGUCCUCCCAAUUCUUAGUCCUUUAAUACCUGUAUUUCUCCUUCUCUUAUUCCGUUUAGUUUUUCAAUCCAUACAAAACCGUAUCCAGGCCAUAACCAGUAACUCUACAUGACAAAUGUUUCUUCUAACAACCCCACAAUAUCACCCCUUACCACAAAAUCUUCCUUCAGCUUAAUCUCUCCCACUCUAGGUUCCCACGCCGCCCCAAUCCCGCUCGAAGCAGCCCUGAGAAACAUCUCCCAUUAUCUCUCCAUACCACCCCCCAAAAUUUUCACCGUCCCAACAUUUUACCACUAUUUCGUUUUAUUUUUCUUAUUGAUAUAAGAAGACAGGAAUGUCAGGCCUCUGAGCCCAAGCUAAGCCAUCAUAUCCCCUGUGACCUUCAUGUACACAUCCAGAUGGCUGGUUUCUGCCUUAACUGAUGACAUUCUACCACAAAAGAACUGAAAAUGGCCUGUUCCUGCUUUAACUGAUGACAUUAUCUUGUGAAAUUCCUUCUCCUGGCUCAUCCUGGCUCAAAAGCUCCCCUGCUGAGCACCUUGUGAACACCCCCCACACCUGCCCGCCAGAGAACAACCCCCCUUUGACUGUAAUUUUCCUUUACCUACCCAAAUCUUAUAAAACAGCCCCACCCCUAUUUCCCUUCGCUGAUUCUCUUUUGGGACUCAGCCUGCCUGCACCCACGUGAUUAAAAGCUUUAUUGCUCACACAAAGCCUGUUUGGUGGUCUCUUCACACAGACACACAUGAAAACGGGAAUUGUUUCAGAUCAGAGAUAGAGACAGGUGUGAGUUGGGAGCAGCCCCUGAUCCUGGAUGGGAUCUUUUGCCACAAAGGACAUUGCUGGAACCAUCAAGGAAAUUUGAAUUCAGUCUCUGGGCAAAGAGUAUAAAGGAGUCCUGGGUGCUAUUCUGGCAACUUAUCUGUAAUUUACAACGUGUGACUUUUUCCCCCAGGGUUAGAGUUAUUUAUGUGUUGUCUUCCUUCCUACUCCAUCAGCUGCUUGACUGCGGGACCCGCAGCGGGCUCAGUUAGCUGUCCCUCCACAGCACCUAGAGUGUGGUAAAGCCUCGUAAAUGUUUCUGGAAGACAGGAGGGGAGAGAAGGGCCACACGGGAGGGAAGGAAGGAGCGAGGGACUGGGGGAAGCUAGCCAAAAGUAGACAUGUGACCUCUCUGCCAGACAGUUCAGUUGGGCUAGAUUCCUAGGUGACACUGGGCUAGAUAAUGAUUGUGGAAAAUUCUAUCAUUGCUUUACUUAAAGUGUCUCUAGAGGAAAGAAAAAUCAUUGAAGUGUGUUUUUGGACCAGCUUGUCAUUAGCUGGAAAAAGCUAUUUUGUUGCGUUAAUUAGUUUUAUUGUUUUGACAUUUUAGCUUUUUAAAGGCUUUGUGCUGGAAUUCAAGUACAGUAUUUCAUUGCCACAGAGUCUAUUUUAAUGAAUGAUUAUUAUACAAAUGAACCUGCUAAUAGGUUCCUUUUUUUUCCCCCAGAAAACAAACAAAAUUCACAAAGAAAUACUCAAGGGCCCCCACUUUAUAUUAAACCUGUGUGCGUGUGUUUUUCUUCCUUAAAAACAAAACAAUUUUUAUAAAAACCACAUUUGGUUCUGCUACAAAAAUCUAAAUGGCUGUUGCGGUAAAUUGACAUGUAAGUAAUGCAAGGUACUUAAUAAUGAGAACAUUCCCACUCUAUUUUUUUUUUUUUCAGAUUAGAAAAGGUGCUAAUAAAAUAAUGCAUUUGCCAAGGCUCCUCAGUUUGCUCAGGAAAAUCUUUUAAGGAUGUUAAUUCUUUGCUUCCUGUCUUAAAACCUAGUUUUUCCUGUGUGGGUACUCUGUUUUCAGGGGCCAACCUUGAACAGGCUGCUAACCAUAUAAACAGAAGAUCUUGUUCCUGGAAGAAAUGCCCCACCCAUGUACUCAUAAACAAUGAUCGCAUUUGUUGGAGCUAAACCUCCCUGGACUUCAUUGAAUGUGGCAUUACCCCAUCCUAAGGGAUGCCGUGGCAUAUUACCCAGCAGGAUUCCAGUUAUAAGAGCAUGAUACAGAAGAUGAAAGCAGACUAUGCUUUUGGCCCAUUCGCCUUGACAUCUCAUAUCCAUCCAGUCAUGACCUCUAUUCAGAUCUUGGAAGGGUGAGGGCUAACUUGGUCUCCAGAGCUACUGGACUUAAUGGUGAGAAUGAAGAUGCAUAAAAUGUGUGGACCAGCCUAUCCAUAAUCUGUCCAGAUUUGGGGGUCAAAAAAGAAUUUAUAUUGGGUGGAGUUGAGAUGCAACUUUAUUACUAAAAUAUAAACCAAAUGCCAAAAGACAUGCCUGAUAUGAUUUGUCUGUGUCCCCACCCAAAUCUCAUCUUGAGUUGUAGUUCCCAUAAUCCCCACAUGUCAUGGGAGAAACCCAAUGGGAAGUAAUUGAAUCAUGGAGACAGUUACCCUCAUGCUGUUCUUACGAUAGUAAGUUCUCAGGAGAUCUGAUGGUUUUAUAAAGGGCUUUUCCCUCUGCUCGGCACUUCUCCUUCCUGCUGUCCUGUGAAGACAGGUCAGCAGAACAGACUGUGUCCUACUGUCCCCUUCACCUCGCCAUGAUUGUAACUUUCUUGAGACCUUCCUAGCCAUGUAGAACUGUGAGUCAAUUAAACCUCUUUUCUUUCUAAAUUACCCAGUCUCAGGUAUGUCCUUAUGGCAGCAUGAGAACAGACUAACACAAUGCCCAAACAAAGUUCACUGUUGUCUAACGUCUCUGAAAAAUACACUACUUAAUUUUAUAUCAACUCAAUUAAAACAUUUCAUGGAACUAAAU